UCAAUUGAUUGCUAUUUGCACCAAAGGCAUUACUCUCACUGUUAAUGGCUGCCAGUGAAUUUCCUGUUUGUUGCCCCCUCUACCUGUUGCUCAGAAUGUAGCCGUUGUUCAGGAUAGUGAUGGCCAUGACUCCUGUAAUUCUGUUCAUAUUCCUGCAUUACACCUGCUUUGCAUAUUGCUUUAUUUUACAUUGUUGAGAAAAAUAAUUCAACAUCUUGAAUUCAUUCAAGCAUACCGUUUUUGUGCUUUCUAAAAGCUAUUGCAAGACUGGAGAAGGUCAUUCCACCAUCGCGGGAAGAGAGCAGAGAAGAACGGGGACCACAAAGAGUGGCUGCUGGAAGCUCAGAGGGAUUUGACGGCCAGCUGUUGGGAGGGUGCUGAAAGGAGAAGUCUGGUUGGAGUGCAUAAUGUGAUCAGGUGGGAAGCAGCAUUCUGGACGAAUUGCAGGGGCUUGAAAGAAGACACAGACCGGUAACCCAGCCAGCAAGGCGUUGGAGUCGUCCAGAGCAGAGAUGACAAGGAUACAAUCUGCUAUGUAGCCUCUUGGAUGAGGAAGGGGAGAAUGUUGUAACAGCUCGGGGAGGGUGGUGCUCAUAAACUGCAUUGUUUUUUGCAAAUAUAUGGAGCAAUCAUGUAUCUUUAUAUCCAGCUAUGCCUUGUUUUAGUGCAUUUUGUAAUUCACUAUGACUACUUCACUUUCAUACUUUACUUUUAUGAACUGUUUUCUUUUACAAUAGUGCUUGGAUAUACUAUAAACAGGUUUUACUACAACUUAAAAUUGACAAAAAUUAUAAGUAACAGAGCACUGGAUUACUUUAUAGUUUUUCCAGUUAAGAAAAAAUACACUAACUAAACAAAUA